CCGGGUUUUAAUCUCAGCUCCUUCUUUGUGAUCUGGGGCACAGAUGGGCACUUCUCUGAGCCCCCUUCUCCGUGUGCAGAAUGAAUAUCCAGCCCUUCUCCCUGACGCGAACUUCGUAGAUCCCAGGAGCGCCUACACCCGCUCUACUCGCUCCUGGAAGAAUUUGUGCUGCCGGUUAGGACCGCAGACUCUGGAACUAAAAGGCCUGGGCUUCAACCCGCGCUCUGCUACCAGCUGUCUGACCUUGGCCCAAUGAUCUAGCCUCUCUGAACAUCCUACUUCUUGGUCCACAAAACCAGGGGAAAUAGUUGCACCCACGCCGUCAUUUGUUGAUGCAACAAGCCACGGCAUGCAUGAAAUACGGAGAGUUCCUGGUACACAGCAGGGCUCGUCGCGGUGACCCACAGCGAGCUCGGCCACCUUCCCAGCAGCCUGUUCUUCAAUCCUGUUUCACAGAGAACCCCAAGCUGAGUGGACGUGGAUGAAGCCACACGACCUGGAGACGACUCUGCCCAGGCCAGAGCCAGACUCCGGCCUCUCUCCCGAGGCCCAGAAGCCCUUCAUCCCCUCAGGCACAACUGAUUGCUUCUCAAGCGUCUCGAGGUGCUGGAAUCCUGGCGUGGCUUCUGAAAGCGCUGACCUUCCGACCAUCCUCUGCCCCUUUCGGAAGCUGAAGGGCCUGCGGAGUCCCAGCUUGUGCCCCAAUCCCUGCACGGACACAUCGUCCCUGUGGCUUCAGCUGGCAGGCACAGUCUUCUGUGGCCACUCCGGCCAGGCCAAGCCGGGAGUCGCGCUCCAGGCCACCUCAGAUACCACCAGCCGGACUGUCGGCUUCUAGAUCUCUGCCCACACUGUUCCCACCACCCGGAGACCUCUUCUCGAACCCCAAGUUCUCCAAGGCCAGGAACAAUUGGCUUAGUCGUCCUCCCCCACGCUCCCCCUGCCACUCCGGGCAGCCCUCUGCCCCACCCCCAACCGUGAGCCUUGGGAGGACGGUGCCCGGCCACCGCUCUGUCCCCAGCACCCUGGCACAAAGGCUGGCCUCAGAGCAGCUGCUCAAAUCUGAACGAGAGACUGAGCCCUACGCGUGUGCAAGCGUGUGAGGCUAUCCCUACACCGUGCGAAGGGCCAGUCGCUCAUCUCACAGGAGCGGAGGGCAGUGCAGUGGGAACGCAAGCCCGGCCUCAGAGAGCAGGCUGACUGCGGAGAGAGGGGUCAAGGGGCAGGCACAGAAGGUAGGCUUCAGAGGCAAAUAAACCCCUGGGCCUCGGAAAAGCCCUGCCCGGGGCUGAAGGCAGCGGCUUUGCGGGGUGGUCUUCACAUACCGCCAACCUGAGAACCACUGAGGUCCGAAGGGAAAGACUCAAGACUUAGCGUCAGGAUCAGAGUCAGCCCGGGAGGAGGCUCUGGACGGGGCUGUGACCGUGCACCUGAGGGAACCUGUCCCCACUCACGUCAGAGGAGCGGGGUGGCCCCGAUGCACUCCGAGUCGCCUCCCGCUUGUGAGAAAACAAAGAAGAGGACCAGGAGUGCCAAGCUCAGGUCUCCACCAGCUUAACAAGAGUCUCCAGGGAAUUUGGAGGCGCCCUCCCCCGCCCCCUCCCCAAAGUGCCAGCACACUGCCCUCCACCAACUCUUUUGGCCUACACACCCGCCCCGGGCCCAGUCACCUGUCACCUGUUUUCCAAGUAUGGAAACUGAGGCCCGUACCUUUGAAGAGGAGGUUGGCCUUGGGCAGGUCCAGCUGGUACCCGAAGGAGACACUGGUGUCCUGCAUCCUUGUGCUGGCCUCGAACUCCACGCCCACCUGCAGCUGGAGGGGCCAGGGCAACACGCAGACAGUCAGCCUCCCGGGCCGGACUCCCGGGCACACGGGCCCCUGGCAGCCCGCGCCUGCAAAGUGCGCCCUCGCAGCCGGUCCCUGGACCAGCUCACCUGGUCGCUGGCUUUGUGGUAGUACGUCGCGUGCAUGCCCGCCUGGCCCAACGUCACUGUCGCCAACCAGUUGUUCACUGUAAGACAGCAGGGUGGAGGGUGGGGCGGACCACCAAGGGGGCUUGGAAGGCAGGCCCGUCUCCUCUCUCCUCCCUCAGACCCGGGCCCCUGGCCCCCGGCCCUGACCCCUGCCCUCAGGCCCCAGGCUCACGUGUGUAUUUCCCAGCUAGAGACAUGACCGUGCCUUCCUCCCCGGGCCGCCGGUGGUAGACCAGCUCUCCACCCAGGGCCAGACACGGCGUGAUGCUCUGCAGGUAGUGGGCCACGAGGAUACCUGCGGGUGAGAUGGGGGAGGGGUCACCUGGGCUCGGUGGUCGGCUUCCGCCCAGCCGAGGUGCCAGGCCGGACUCCCACUCCAGGGAGCUCUCCAGGUUCGCCCCUGCUGGAGGCGCAGGGCCUGCCCUCAGGCCGCCCGCGCCCCGUGGGACCUCAUCAGGUCUGUACCGCCCCACGAGGCUGGCGUUCACCUGCCACUCUAUUUACAGAGGAGUCCGCGGAGGCUAAGGAAGGAAGUCACUGAUCCGUGGUCACAAGGGACAGCCCUGAGACCCCUAUUGGGCGCUGGCCAGCAGGCGACCGCCCCCUGGUGGGCGGAAAUUCUCGGAGCCAGAGGACUGGCGCCUGGGAGAGUAGACACUGCAAACCAGGACCACACACACGCUGUCCUUCCUGCCCGCACUGCCCCUGAUGAGUCUGGCCAACUACAUACUCGCACCUAAGUGUUUCCUGGAGCAGGUUACUUCUCUCCAGCACACUCCCUGAUCAGAGUCACGGUCACCAGAGGACCAUGGCAGUCGCCCUGUCCUGGCCUCCCUGCUUUCACCUUGGCCCAUGCCUGCAGUUGGCAGGUAUACGCUGAGAACUAUGGUCAGAACACGGUCUCCACUGCUCGUCUCGCUCCAACGGAUCCUGGCUAGUUUCCAUACUUCGCCCCAUUCUCUCUGCUCCCCAAGCACAUUCCCUGGGCCGCUUCGUCCCGGGGCUGCCCGGCUUGCAGAUCUUCACCGGCUUCACCCCUUCCCCCAUCUCUGUCUCCCAAACUCAGCCUGUGCCUCCCACUUGCAUCCAGACCCAGUUCCCCUAAGGCACCGGGUGCCCCGAGGCAGGGCCUUCGCCAGAAUGAGUGGUUCUCAACCAGGGGCCAUUCUGCAGUGUCUGGAGUGGCCGGAAGGGUCUCGGGAGUCCAAAACCCCACGAGAAGGAAAGAAACGGAGUUAGACCUGUGAGCAAAGAGGUGGCCUUGGCCAAUGGGCAGAGCCAGGCCAACCUGGGCAAGAGUCAGGCCUCCAGUUUUGCCUCCCCAACCUGCUGGGCAGGGAGCCAGGGACAGAUGGGGCAGGAGGAAGGCUUGGGCUGACUCGCCCUGCCCCCGCCUUUCCCCUGCUUGCCUGGGACCCACACACACCAGGAGUCCUUGGCCAAGUCCCCCAUGGGGCAGGAAGGGCAGACACCCCAGAGCAGAUGGGCAGGUAAGGGCAGCACCCGGAAGGAACGCAGUUCUCGGCCCCAGCCAGUCUGCUCCCCACGCUCUGUGCUCCGUAGGCCUCAGAGAAGC